rnacentral:rRNA from 1 species
AGAGUUUGAUCAUGGCUCAGAUUGAACGCUGGCGGAAUGCUUUACACAUGCAAGUCGAGCGGCAGCGCGGGGGCAACCCUGGCGGCGAGCGGCGAACGGGUGAGUAACAUAUCGGAACGUACCCAGUCGUGGGGGAUAACUAUCCGAAAGGAUAGCUAAUACCGCAUACGACCUGAGGGUGAAAGCGGGGGACCGAAAGGCCUCGCGCGAUUGGAGCGGCCGAUAUCGGAUUAGCUAGUUGGUGAGGUAAAGGCUCACCAAGGCGACGAUCCGUAGCUGGUCUGAGAGGACGACCAGCCACACUGGAACUGAGACACGGUCCAGACUCCUACGGGAGGCAGCAGUGGGGAAUUUUGGACAAUGGGGGCAACCCUGAUCCAGCCAUUCCGCGUGAGUGAAGAAGGCCUUCGGGUUGUAAAGCUCUUUCAGCAGGAACGAAACGGUGGUCCCUAAUACGGGCUACUAAUGACGGUACCUGAAGAAGAAGCACCGGCUAACUACGUGCCAGCAGCCGCGGUAAUACGUAGGGUGCGAGCGUUAAUCGGAAUUACUGGGCGUAAAGCGUGCGCAGGCGGUUAUAUAAGACAGAUGUGAAAUCCCCGGGCUUAACCUGGGAACUGCGUUUGUGACUGUAUAACUUGAGUGUGGCAGAGGGGGGGUGGAAUUCCACGUGUAGCAGUGAAAUGCGUAGAGAUGUGGAGGAACACCGAUGGCGAAGGCAGCCCCCUGGGUCAACACUGACGCUCAUGCACGAAAGCGUGGGGAGCAAACAGGAUUAGAUACCCUGGUAGUCCACGCCCUAAACGAUGCGAACUAGGUGUUGGGGAAGGAGACUUUCUUAGUACCGCAGCUAACGCGUGAAGUUCGCCGCCUGGGGAGUACGGUCGCAAGAUUAAAACUCAAGGAAUUGACGG